rnacentral:rRNA from 1 species
AUACGAAGGGGGCUAGCGUUGCUCGGAAUGACUGGGCGUAAAGGGCGUGUAGGCGGUUGAUCCAGUCAGAUGUGAAAUCCCCGGGCUUAACCUGGGAGCUGCAUUUGAGACGUUAAGACUAGAGUGUGAGAGAGGGUUGUGGAAUUCCCAGUGUAGAGGUGAAAGUUCGUAGAUAUUGGGAAGAACACCGGUGGCGAAGGCGGCAACCUGGCUCAUUACUGACGCUGAGGCGCGAAAGCGUGGGGAGGC